rnacentral:rRNA from 1 species
UAGGGAAUCUUCCGCAAUGGACGAAAGUCUGACGGCGCAACGCCGCGUGAGUGAAGAAGGCUUUCGGUUCGUACACCUCUGUUGUUAGGUAAGAAAAAAUGUAUAGUAACUAUAUACAAACGAGACGGUACCUAACCAGAAAGCCACGGCUCACUACGUGCCAGCAGCCGCGUUAAUACGUAGGUGGCAAGCGUUGUCCGGAAUUAUUUGGCGUUUAGCGCGCGCAGGUGGUUUAGAAAGUCUGAUGUGAAAGCCCACGGCUCAACCGGGGAGAGUCACUGGAAACAAAUAAAAUUGAGUGCAGGAGAGAAAAGCGGAAUUCCUAGGGUAGCGGGGCAAUCCGUAGGGAUUAGGAAGAACACCGGUGGCGAAAGCGGCUUUUAGGCAUGCAACUGACACUGAGGCGCUAAAGCGUGGGGCGCAAACAGG